rnacentral:rRNA from 1 species
UACGGAGGAUGCAAGCGUUAUCCGGAAUGAUUGGGCGUAAAGAGUCCGUAGGUGGUUGUGAAAGUCUGUGGUUAAAGCGCGAAGCUCAACUUCGUAAAGGCCAUGGAAACUAUGCGACUAGAGUGAGAUAGGGGUAGAGGGAAUUCUUGGUGUAGCGGUGAAAUGCGUAGAUAUCAAGAAGAACACCGGUGGCGAAAGCGCUCUACUGGAUCUUAACUGACACUGAGGGACGAAAGCUAGGGGAGCGAAAGGG